UUGGCUCAGGAUGAACGCUGGCGGCGUGCUUAACACAUGCAAGUCGAACGAGGAACAGAAGACGAGGUCUUCGGAUUAAAUUGACUGUUCCGAGUGGCGGACGGGUGAGUAACGCGUGGGGAACCUGCCUUAUACUGAGGGACAACAGCUGGAAACGGCUGCUAAUACCUCAUAUGCGCACAGGAAGGCAUCUUCCGGUGUGGAAAGAAAUUCGGUAUAAGAUGGCCCCGCGUCUGAUUAGGCAGUUGGUGAGAUAACAGCCCACCAAACCGACGAUCAGUAGCCGACCUGAGAGGGCGAACGGCCACAUUGGGACUGAGACACGGCCCAGACUCCUACGGGAGGCAGCAGUGGGGAAUA
rnacentral:rRNA from 1 species